AAGACUUUCAUGUCUGCUUCUCUUCCUUCUCCAUGAUCAAGUGCAGCAAGGCUUCUCUUAUGGCAAGGGUUUCUGAUUGCAAUGGGGAGGAAGCUGCAACUGACUUCGUGAACCCAACAAUCAAUAUUCCUCGGUCGUCUCGAACAACUCUGGCAAUCGACCCCUCCGACGAACCGGCAAGCCGGGUCAACUCACUCUCAAGCAUGCCUCGCCGGUCGACAAAUCAGGUAAGGCUCCAUCUACUUCACUCCGUAGCUUCUCUUUUAGGGGCGGUCGGCUGAUAUGAUUGCCCAAAAUUAUAUCAUUCUCCACGAUCGAAGUCGGAUUUGGUCUACGAUUUUGAAAUACCCACUUGUUGCGUUCCUUCCAUAUCAGCCUCAAAACACCCACAAUUUGCUCACUUGGUGCUGAGGUAUGACCUGCUCCCACUAGUUCAUGCGACCAUUUAUCUAUCCUGGUUAGAGUCGUUGGGGAUACUGUGAUGUUAAUUCUCGGACUUAACCAUAGACCUUUGGUCCGGUUGCACAGAAGGAAGAGAUGUUCCAACGUCUCUUGUGCGUGUCGGCACAUUGGGCAUAACAGGUUAGGUAAUAAUCUCCUCCUGUUCAAAUUUUCCUUUGUGGGUAGCGUAUUUUACGGUCUUGUACUUGAAAUGUUAAAAGAGUGAAUAAAUGUUUUG
rnacentral:lncRNA from 1 species